GGUGAUGUAGCUCAGAGGUCAGAGCAGUACAUUUAGAUGUGCGGUCAGCGGUUCGAAUCCGCUCAUCACUUCUA
rnacentral:tRNA from 1 species